rnacentral:rRNA from 1 species
GACGAACGCUGGCGGCGUGCUUAACACAUGGAAGUCGAACGAUGAAGCCGGAGCUUGCUCUGGUGAAUUAGUGGCGAACGGGUGAGUAACACGUGAGUAACCUGCCCUUGACUCUGGGAUAACUGCUAGAAAUGGUAGCUAAUACCGGAUACGACCCUCGGAGGCAUCUCCAGGGGGUGGAAAGAAUUUCGGUCAAGGAUGGACUCGCGGCCUAUCAGCUAGUUAGUGAGGUAAUGGCUCACCAAGGCGACGACGGGUAGCCGGCCUGAGAGGGGGAGCGGCCACACUCGGACUGAGACACGGCCCAGACUGCGACGAGGGACAGCAGUCGGGAAGAUUGAACAAUGGGAGAAAGCCUGAGUCAGAAACGCCGCGUGGGGGAUGACGGCCUUCGGGUGGUAAGCCUCUUUUAGUAGGGAAGAAGCGAAAGUGACGGUACCUGCAGAAAAAGCGCCGGCUAACUACGUGCCAGCCGCCGCCGUAA